rnacentral:SRP_RNA from 1 species
GCUGGGCGUGGUGGCGCACGCCUGUAGUCCCAUCUACUUGGGAGGCUGAGGCAGGAGAAUCUCUUGAACCGGGGAGGCGGAGGUUGCAGUGAGCCAAGAUUGCGCCACUGCAUUCCAGCCUGGCAACAGAGAGAGACUCUGUCUCAA